GACGAACGCUGGCGGCGUGCCUAAUACAUGCAAGUUGAGCGAUGAGGAUUGGUGCUUGCACCAAUGUGAAGAGCAGCGAACGGGUGAGUAACGCGUGGGUAAUCUGCCUUUGAGCGGGGGACAACAUUUGGAAACGAAUGCUAAUACCGCAUAACAACUUUAAACAUAAGUUUUAAGUUUGAAAGAUGCAAUUGCAUCACUCAAAGAUGAUCCCGCGUUGUAUUAGCUAGUUGGUGAGGUAAAGGCUCAACAAGGCGAUGAUACAUAGCCGACCUGAGAGGGGGAUCGGCCCAAUUGGGACCGAGAACAGGCCCAAACUCCCACGGGAGGGAGCAGUAGGGAAUUUUUGGCAAUGGACGAAAGUCUGACCGAGCAAAGCCGCGUGAGUGAAGAAGGUUCUCGGAUUGUAAAAACCUGUUGGUAGGGAAGAAAGUUGGGUGGAGGGGAAAGCGCAUCAAGUGACGGUAACUAACCAGAAAGGGACGGCUAACUACGUG
rnacentral:rRNA from 1 species